rnacentral:misc_RNA from 1 species
GAUGAAGAACGCAGCGAAAUGCGAUAAGUAAUGUGAAUUGCAGAAUUCAGUGAAUCAUCGAAUCUUUGAACGCACAUUGCGCCCGCCAGUAUUCUGGCGGGCAUGCCUGUUCGAGCGUCAUUUCAACCAUCAAGCCCCCGGCUUGUGUUGGGGACCUGCGGCUGCCGCAGGCCCUGAAAAGCAGUGGCGGGCUCGCUGUCACACCGAGCGUAGUAGCAUACAUCUCGCUCUGGGCGUGCUGCGGGUUCCGGCCGUUAAACCACCUUCAUAACCCAAGGUUGACCUCGGAUCAGGUAGGAAGACCCGCUGAACUUAAGCAUAUCAUAAGCGGAGGA